GACGAACGCUGGCGGCGUGCUUAACACAUGCAAGUCGAACGGAGUGGCGAACGGGUUAGUAACACGUGGGUGACCUGCCCUGCACUUCGGGAUAAGCCUGGGAAACUGGGUCUAAUACCGGAUAGUGGGGGAUGGGCCCGGGGCCUAUCAGCUUGUUGGUGGGGUAAUGGCCUACCAAGGCGGCGACGGGUAGCCGGCCUGGGAGGGUGGACGGCCCCAUUGAGACUGAGACACGGACCAGACUCCUACGGGAGGCAGCAGUGGGGAAUAUUGCACAAUGGGCGGAAGCCUGAGGAAGCGACGCCGCGUGGGGGAUGACGGGUUGCGGGUUGUAAACUACUUUCACCAUAGACGCGGUAGAUGGAGAAGAAGCACCGGCUAACUACGUGCCAGCAGCCGCGGUAAUAC
rnacentral:rRNA from 1 species